UCAAAUGACUUCACUUUUCUUUUCAAGUAGGAAUACCAUUCGCUACAUAACCCCCACCUGUGAAACUGCUAACUAGCAUCCCCCCUUUCCCAUCUUUCCCAAUUCUAACUCAGAAUUUCCCAAACAGCUCAUCUUGCCUUCUUCCUUACUAGAUUCAGUCUGGACUCUUCACCACAGCUGCUGCCACUGUGUGGUGAUGGUGGUUUCGUCGCUUUAGUCAUGUCGGACUCUUUGCCACCCCAUGGACUAUAGUUUGCCAGGCUCCUUUGUCCAUGGGAUUCUCCAGGCAAGAACACUUGAAGUGGGUUGCCAUUUCCUUCUCCAGGGGAUCCUCCCAACUCAGGAAUUAAACCCAGUUGCCUGCAUUGCAGGCAGAUUCUUUACCAACUCAGCUACGAGGGAAGCCCCACUAUGUGGCCUCUGUUGAAACGCUGCUUUACUGGUAACCCGCACAGUGACCCUCUCCCCUUUCCAGGAUGCCAAAGCUGCCCUGUGGCAUGAGAAAGUCAGUGACCCGUCUCCAACUCUAUCAGCUUUGUUCCUGUGAUCCAGUGCACAGCAUCUGCUCAGAGCUUGCUUGUUUGUUUUUAAUACAUCUAUUUCCUGCCAUACACCUCUCCAGACCAUGGCUGUGUCUUGAUACCUGGAGUAAUGCAAACCUUCACAGGGCAAGAGCUGGUACUUUUGGCCCCUGCUACUGCUUCUGAGAAACCAGUAGCAUAAGGUUGAUGGUGCAUCAGCUACAACUGGGGUCAACUGGGAAGCUUUGUUCCAGGUUAUGCUUUGGCUUCAGCUCUGUUCCACUGGGGCCUUAGCUGAAGGAGGAGGAGCUUCUUGGGAAUUCUCUUCUCAUGGCAGAUAACCAAACAAGUCGUGUGUCUUGAGACCUCAGACUGGCAAGUUUCCAUGUCCACCUGUAUUUCUUCAGCUCAAACAAGUCAUAUUGCCCAGCCACCAACAUGGCAGAAAAUAUCUGCUGCUUACUCUAAUAAAGCAAUGUCCCAAAGGAAAGGGCA
ensembl:lncRNA